rnacentral:rRNA from 1 species
UUAACACAUGCAAGUCGAACGGAAAGGCCCUGCUUGCAGGGUACUCGAGUGGCGAACGGGUGAGUAACACGUGGGUGAUCUGCCCUGCACUUCGGGAUAAGCUUGGGAUACUGGGUCUAAUACCGGAUAGGAGCCAUCUUUAGUGUGGUGGUUGGAAAGUUUUUUCGGUGUAGGAUGAGCUCGCGGCCUAUCAGCUUGUUGGUGGGGUAAUGGCCUACCAAGGCGGCGACGGGUAGCCGGCCUGAGAGGGUGUACGGCCACAUUGGGACGGAGAUACGGCCCAGACUCCUACGGGAGGCAGCAGUGGGGAAUAUUGCACAAUGGGCGCAAGCCUGAUGCAGCGACGCCGCGUGGGGGAUGAAGGCCUUCGGGUUGUAAACUCCUUUCGCUAGGGACGAAGCUUUGUGUGACGGUACCUAGAUAAGAAGCACCGGCUAACUACGUGCCAGCAGCCGCGGUAAUACGUAGGGUGCGAGCGUUGUCCGGAAUUACUGGGCGUAAAGAGCUCGUAGGUGGUUUGUCGCGUCGUCUGUGAAAUUCUGGGGCUUAACUCCG